GGGAGAUUUGAAUGUAUUCUGCAUGACGUCGGAAAAGUAAAUACUGUGUGACAGACUAUGGUUGCUAUAAACAUGUUUGACACUCUUUCUCUUCCCUUAAAUAUGAGCCAGCUUUAAGUGACUUGCUUUCUUUUUUUGAGACGGAGUUUCACUCUGUUGGCAGGCUGGAGUGCAAUGGCGUGAUCUCGGCUCACUGCAACCUCCACCUCCUGGGUUCAAGUGAUUCUCCUGCCUCAGCCUCCUGAGUAGCUGGGAUUUUAGGCGUACACUACCAUGCCCAGCUAAUUUUUGUAUUUUUAGUAGAGAUGGGGUUUCACCAUGUUGGCCAGGUUGGUCUCAAACUCUUGACCUUUUGAUCACCCUGGCCUCUCAAAGUGCUGGGAUUACAGGUGUGAGCCACCGCUCCUGGCCAUGACUUGCUUUUAAUGAAUAGAAUAAGAUAGAAUCUUGAUGUAUGACUUUUAACUUCUGAGGCUAGAUUUUGAAAGGUGACAUAACUUUUACUUGGUUCUCUGUCAUGAGAUGCUUGCUCUUGGAAUCUAGCCAUGUUGAAAAGAAUCUUAGGCUAUAUUGAGAGGCCAUGUGCAAGUGUUCAGCUAAUAACCCCAGUUAUCAUCCUAGCUUACAGCUGGCAUCAACUACCAGAUAAGUGAGUGAAGGAGAUUUCAGAUUAAUUUCAGCCCCAGCAUUCAAGUGGCCUUAGUUAAUGCCUAAUGGAGCAGAGAAAGGAAUUAUCACUGCCAUUUUGCAUAUGAUGAAACUAAAGUUCAGAGAGGAUAACCUGAGAAAAAGAAAUGAAGGAACACAACAAGAAACAGUACCAGGCAUCAAACCUAGGAAAAAUGCUGUAUUUGGCUGGAUGCAGUGGCUCACGCCUGUAAUCCCAGCACUUUGGGAGGCCAAAACGGAUGGAUUGCCUGAGGUCGGGAAUUGGAGACCAGCCUGAUCAAUGUGGAGAAACCCUGUCUCUGCUGAAAAUACCAAAUUAGCCGGCGUGGUGGCACAUGCCUGUAAUCCCAGCUACUCAGGAGGCUGAGGCAGAAGAAUCGCUUGAACCUGGGAGACAGAGUUGGGAUGAGCCGAGAUUGUGCCCUUGCACUCCAGCCUGGGCAACAAGAGUGAAACUCCGUCUCAAAAAAAAAAAAAAGAAGUUAUAUUUUACUCAAUAUUCUUUCCAAAAAUCUAGCCUACUUUCCCCUUAUGUUUACAACGAGAAAGUACUCUUAAGAGCUGUUAGUAAACAGACAGCUGGUCUCAAAUGACCAAGAAACCACAAGUGAGCACUGACAGGUCUAACAUGCCAAUGGGCCCUCCUCAGACAGAGUUCACAUCCCACCUGUGCCUGGAUGGGCCAGAGCAAGGCUGUCACAGCCAGGUCCAACAACACCUGCUUGCUCACAGAAACCCAUUACCUCUCCUGCUGUAGGGUGGUGGUGGACUGCGGGUGCUAUCGCAGGUCAAAGUUAUACUGUGGGUGAGACUCCACAGCUUGAGGAGGUUCCGUAUCACGAGUGCAAGAAGACACUGAUCCUCGCCAGCAUGUGCCCCUUUCUACAGUUAUCUUCCUCUAGAUUCUGAAAAAUGGAAAAUACUGCUUGGUGUUAAAUUUCUUUGAGGUUAAUAAAAAAUGCCUGCUUAACUAGACUUGCUUUCUCUCUAAACCUGCUGUUUCCUCAAAU